UGGGGAAUAUUGCACAAUGGGGGAAACCCUGAUGCAGCGACGCCGCGUGAGCGAAGAAGGCUUUCGAGUCGUAAAGCUCUGUCCUAUGAGAAGAUAAUGACGGUAUCAUAGGAGGAAGCCCUGGCUAAAUACGUGCCAGCAGCCGCGGUAAUACGUAUGGGGCGAGCGUUGUCCGGAAUUAUUGGGCGUAAAGGGUACGUAGGUGGUUUUUUAAGUCAGGUGUCAAAGCGUGGAGCUUAACUCCAUUAAGCACUUGAAACUGAAAGACUUGAGUGAAGGGGAGGAAAGUGGAAUUCCUAGUGUAGCGGUGAAAUGCGUAGAUAUUAGGAGGAAUACCGGUGGCGAAGGCGACUUUCUGGACUUUUACUGACGCUCAGGUACGAAAGCGUGGGGAGCAAACAGG
rnacentral:rRNA from 1 species